rnacentral:rRNA from 1 species
GACGAACGCUGGCGGCGUGCCUAAUACAUGCAAGUAGAACGCUGAAGCGAGGAGCUUGCUCUUCUUGGAUGAGUUGCGAACGGGUGAGUAACGCGUAGGUAACCUGCCUUGUAGCGGGGGAUAACUAUUGGAAACGAUAGCUAAUACCGCAUAACAAUGGAUGACACAUGUCAUUUAUUUGAAAGGGGCAAUUGCUCCACUACAAGAUGGACCUGCGUUGUAUUAGCUAGUAGGUGAGGUAAUGGCUCACCUAGGCGACGAUACAUAGCCGCCCUGAGAGGGUGAUCGGCCACACUGGGACUGAGACACGGCCCAGACUCCUACGGGAGGCAGCAGUAGGGAAUCUUCGGCAAUGGGGGCAACCCUGACCGAGCAACGCCGCGUGAGUGAAGAAGGUUUUCGGAUCGUAAAGCUCUGUUGUAAGUCAAGAACGGGUGUGAGAGUGGAAAGUUCACACUGUGACGGUAGCUUACCAGAAAGGGACGGCUAACUACGUG